rnacentral:rRNA from 1 species
CAGUCGCCACGGGAAUACAGAGGGUGCAAGCGUUAAUCGGAAUUACUGGGCGUAAAGCGCGCGUAGGUGGUUUGUUAAGUUGGAUGUGAAAGCCCCGGGCUCAACCUGGGAACUGCAUCCAAAACUGGCAAGCUAGAGUACGGUAGAGGGUGGUGGAAUUUCCUGUGUAGCGGUGAAAUGCGUAGAUAUAGGAAGGAACACCAGUGGCGAAGGCGACCACCUGGACUGAUACUGACACUGAGGUGCGAAAGCGUGGGGAGCAAACAGGAUUAGAGACCCCCGUAGUCCCUGUCUCUUAUAC